AAGAAAAGAAAAAUAGAAAGUUGGUUUUGAUGAUAGCCGUAUCCAAUAAAAAAAGCAAAAAAGUUGAGCCGUCCUAUCGUUUUUCUGGGUUGUAUCAUAUUGGCAGAUAACUUAUCGUAGGAGCAGAUUUCACAUGCACCAUAAUAUUAGAUUUGGCUUCUCCUCUAAUUUUGAAAAUAGAUAUGAAAUGAAGUCGUGCGAUGCCAUGUGCAGUUUCAAGUGUGUCGUUAUCCUAGUCCAAAUUCAUGGCUGUCAUUUGCACGGCGUUGAAGUCAGAGACGCAUUGCUUUACUGUCAUAUUCUAAUCUGCCUACAAGGAAUCAAGAAAGUUCUUAUAGUUUUGGGAAUUAAAAGAAAAAACAAAUUAAGCCCAGUUGGUUAGGUCACUAACAUGUCUUUCUGGGUGCGAGAUGGGAGGUGC